GCGGCGAGCGAACGGGGAGCAGCCCAGAGUCUUAAUCAAUAGCAGUGUCAGGAGAACGGUCUGGAAAGUCCGGCAGUAAAGGGUGAUAGCCCCGUAUCUGAAGAUGCUGUUGUUGUGAACUCGACGAGUAGGGCGGGACACGUGUUAUCCUGUCUGAAUAUGGGGGGACCAUCCUCCAAGGCUAAAUACUCCUGAUUGACCGAUAGUGAACCAGUACCGUGAGGGAAAGGCGAAAAGAACCCCGGCGAGGGGAGUGAAAAAGAACCUGAAACCGUGUACGUACAAGCAGUAGGAGCCCCAUCACUCAAGUGCCUCGCACUGAGUGAUGCAAGAACAUCACCGAAAAUAGCGCCGAAUUUGCUAACAAGGUUGGUCGAUUUUUUCAAGCCGUCGCGCAGUGUACCUAGAAGUACACGAGCAACGGAAGUUAAAAAAUCGGGCAAGAUUGAACGCAAAGGCAAGCGGGACAUUUGAGGAUGGGGUGACUGCGUACCUUUUGUAUAAUGGGUCAGCGACUUAUAUUCUGUAGCAAGGUUAACCGUAUAGGGGAGCCGUAGGGAAACCGAGUCUUAACUGGGCGAAUGAGU
rnacentral:rRNA from 1 species